rnacentral:lncRNA from 1 species
GGGAUAUCAAAUAGAUUAUUUUUUUUUCUUGGAAAAAAAGACUGUUAAAUUUGUUCUGAUGACAGUGGUAAUUGAGCUUUAGAAAUACAAAUGCCUCUCCCUUCUGUCAUGCCUCACUUAUGUUGUCAUAGAUACUAUUUCAAUUUAGAAAACCUUAUUGAGGACGAUAUGGAAAAGACAAGAUCCCUGUCCCCUCCUCCCAAAAUUAUAUAUUCUAGUAGGAGAUACAUGAUCCCACCACAAUCUACUGAUACAUGCAUAUAAUGCAUGCAGAUGAACAUUUUUAUUGAAAAUCAGUCUUCAAAUUGACAUUUCACCCCUUGUUUUGAACAUAAGUAAGGUAAAGUUUGAACAAAGAGAAUUGGUGGGGUGUUUUUUCUUUUUUUCUUAACAGAGAGUUUUUUAAAGUAAAAAGACUCCAAUGUUAUUCCAGACACUCCCUAUUCGCUGGAACUUCACAUUUGGAAUUAAGGCACAUGGAUGCAUGUGAAUGACAAGCCAGAAUUCUGGAGACAUGGAUUCUGCCCUAAUAUAUCUUCAGUGAAGUUCUGUAGCAGUAGGACGGCUGAAAUGAGAACAAGUAUGAAAUACCUAGAGAAACACAAAAGAAGAAAAAAAGAAAGAAAGAAAGAAAGAAAGAAAGAAAGAAAGAAAAGAAAGAAAGAAAGACUGAAAUAAAGUCCAGAAGCAAGUAACAUUCAGUUAUCACCAGAGAGCAAUGGAAAUGUGAUCUCACCUAUGAAAUAUUUUGAAAAAUUUGAAGUAAGAUGUCAAGCUGCUAAUGUUGAAAAAGAAGACCAUUUCUUUCAGGCUGAUGAGAAAACUGAAGGCCAAGAUAUGUUAUCCUUUCAUUUGUGACUGUGGUUUAAACAGAAAGAAAUGACAAAGCAUUAGUCACAUUAUGUGGUACAAUAAUGGCCCCCAGGUACAGUAGUUAUUUAAAAAAAUGAUGACACCUUUGGAAUUGUUAGACUAAUGUGUAAAUCGUUUCUGUCCUUUACAAAAAGGCAUUAUAGUAUGAUAUUUUGAUGCUUUUGGAUUGCAAGGGAUAAGCAAGUAGCUUUGAAAAGCAACUAAUUUAGGAAGAUUUAAACUGUAGAGCAGUCUAAAGUUUUGUGGCUAUUCAUGGUAUUAAACUUGAUACGCUGGCAGAAGGCAGUACAGAAUUUCAGUCAGGUACACUGGCAGAUCUCUCAAAUCCAAUUUGUAAAACUCAUCUAAUGUCACUCGCAAAGACAUUUUAAAAAGACAAGAAAUGUAAUGGAGGAAAAGAAACAUGUCUAAGUAAUGCAAUUUAAAAAUAACAAGAUAGAGUAUUUCUAGCAAUCACAAGGAUUACACACAGAGGCUAUCAGAAGAAAAUAUCUUCAAUUUGGAAAUAAACAGUAGUUGUAAAAUGAAUAGAAUAAGAGA